CCCAGACUCCUACGGGAGGCAGCAGUGGGGGAUAUUGCACAAUGGGGGGAACCCUGAUGCAGCGACGCCGCGUGGGUGAAGGAGCGUUUCGGCGCGUAAAGCCCUCUCGGCAGGGAAGAAGGAGGACGGUACCUGACUAAGAAGCCCCGGCUAACUACGUGCCAGCAGCCGCGGUAAUACGUAGGGGGCGAGCGUUAUCCGGAUUCACUGGGCGUAAAGGGAGCGCAGGCGGCACGGCAAGUCCGGUGUGAAAGCCCGGGGCCCAACCCCGGGACUGCACUGGAAACUGCCGGGCUGGAGUGUCGGAGGGGCAGGCGGAAUUCCUAGUGUAGCGGUGAAAUGCGUAGAUAUUAGGAGGAACACCAGUGGCGAAGGCGGCCUGCUGGACUGCGACUGACGUUGAGGCCCGAAAGCGUGGGGAGCAAACAGGAUUAGAUACCCCAGUAA
rnacentral:rRNA from 1 species